rnacentral:rRNA from 1 species
AGAAUCAACGCUGGCGGCGUGCCUAACACAUGCAAGUCGAACGAGAAAGUGGAGCAAUCCAUGAGUAAAGUGGCGCACGGGUGAGUAACACGUGACUAACCUACCCUUGAGUGGGGAAUAACUUCGGGAAACCGAGGCUAAUACCGCAUAACACCUACGGGUCAAAGGAGCAAUUCGCUUAAGGAGGGGGUCGCGGCAGAUUAGUUAGUUGGCGGGGUAAUGGCCCACCAAGACGGUGAUCUGUAUCCGGCCUGAGAGGGCGCACGGACACACUGGAACUGAAACACGGUCCAGACUCCUACGGGAGGCAGCAGUGGGGAAUUUGCGCAAUGGGGGAAACCCUGACGCAGCAACGCCGCGUGGAGGAUGAAGUCCCUUGGGACGUAAACUCCUUUCGAUCGGGACGAUUAUGACGGUACCGGAAGAAGAAGCCCCGGCUAACUUCGCGCCAGCAGCCGCC